rnacentral:misc_RNA from 1 species
AAGUCGUAACAAGGUUUCCGUAGGUGAACCUGCGGAAGGAUCAUUACUGAGUUAGGGUUCUUUCGAGCCCGAUCUCCAACCCUAUGUUAAACUACCUUUGUUGCUUUGGCAGGCCCGUUCUUAACGGGACCGCCGGAGGUGUUUAGUCACUCAUGGCCGUCGCCAUGCCCAUGCUUGGCCAGGUCCGUCCAUGCCCAAGUCCAAAAGCUUUACCAUUUUCAAAUUCCAAUUUUUUUGACUAAUUUCGUUCAAUAAGGUAAUUUAAAAAUUAUAAAAUUUUAAAUCAAAA